rnacentral:rRNA from 1 species
UACGAAGGGGGCUAGCGUUGCUCGGAAUCACUGGGCGUAAAGCGCACGUAGGCGGGUUGCUAAGUCAGGGGUGAAAUCCUGGAGCUCAACUCCAGAACUGCCUUUGAUACUGGCGGCCUUGAGUCCGGGAGAGGUGAGUGGAACUGCGAGUGUAGAGGUGAAAUUCGUAGAUAUUCGCAAGAACACCAGUGGCGAAGGCGGCUCACUGGCCCGGUACUGACGCUGAGGAGCGAAAGCCAGGGGAGCGAACGGG